AAGCUUCCAGGUUGGUGAACAGGUGGAGGUUCUAGGAGAGUGGCUCACUUAGAGAAGGCGUGGAAGCUCCGCGCCGUUUCCCCAUAUCUUGCUCUAUGCAUCUCUUCCAUCUGGCUGUUCCUGAGUUAUAUCCUUUUAUAAUAAACCAGUAAUCUAAUAAGAAAAAUGUUUCUUUGAGUGAGCUGCUCUAGCAAAUUAAUCAAAACCAAGAAAGGAGGGGCUUGUGGGAACCUCCAAUCUGUAGCCAGUGGGUCAAAAAGCACAGAUUAGAUUUCUCUGGCUCCAUAUGAAUCCGGUUUUUCUCCUCUUGAUGACAUCAAUCAUAGCGGGACUUUCCUUCAUUGCUAGUCAGAGUUGGAACCACUGCCUCCUUAAAGAAACGUCUUGCUUUUUCUUGGAAGACUCUCCAUUAUCCUCAAUUUCAGUUGGUUCUGAUCACCAGAGAGGAGAAGAGCAAAAGGUAUGGACACAUAUCACCAUUUCAAAGUCUGCUGGAUCAUGUCAGGAGUUCCCGAGGACGAUAAGCACCAGCCGAAGGGAGCCAGAGCAAGAGCUGCAGGAAGAUGGAGGGAGAAGCAAAGACUAUACUUGUGAGAAUACACGGGGCACCCACUGGAAGUUACCGAGAAAGAACUAUUGUUGAUAUCUAUCAAUCAUAUAAGGGAUGGCUUAGAGCUCUUGUAAAAGAGAGUGAAAAUUGUAUAUAAACCCAACAAAUUGGAAAAUGCAAGACAAAAUCUACCCUAUAGACGCAAAAGAUGAGCAUCUAAAUUAGAGAAUUUGAGGACUGACAUCUUUGUAUUUUCCCUUCUAGUAAAACAGAAUGAGAAAAGUUUAUAGAGAAACCAUUUUUGUUUUUGUUGUUAUUGGCAUUGUUUGCUCCUAAGGGUAGACAGUGUGUCUAAAAACUACUUGUGGGCUUUCUAUAUCACUUUAGCUGUAUACUAGGAAACCCAGAGCCUCAGGGAAAAAUUGAAAGAGAAAUGCCGACUAUAUAGAGUAUGUUGUGAAUAUCAGCACAGCUAAUAAGUAUCAUAGUGAAACAAUAGUAUUAAAUCUCGUUCCAGCACUCAAACUUAUAGAAGUGUUCAAAAAGCUAUCUGAGGGGAGAGCGGUAGGGAGUGGGGACAGGAGGGUGGGGGAAUCUCUAGAACCAAUUCAGAUUUUUUUAGAGGACUUCCGUGUUGUGGCUCUCAUGAUUCCUAUUCUUUCCAGCGUAUCACUAGAUAGACACCCACAGUCACCUAUCACCAUAUGACUUCCUGGGGCUGUCCUUUAAUUUUGUUUUUCAAGAAAUAGUUAAGAUUGAGAAAUUAAUAAAAAUCUCAAUCAUAUCUUACUAGCCAGUUUAAUGGUUUAAGAUGCUAGCCAUACUUUGGUGAUGUUACGGUUUUUGUCCUCUUAUGUUUUAUAAUUUAUUACAAUCUGCUAUACCUUUGAUA
ensembl:lncRNA